rnacentral:lncRNA from 1 species
UUCAAAUAAAUUUCAGUUUUGGUUAUACGGAUGAUAUGAUUAGGUGUUUAAGUUCUGGAUAAUUGUGUCCAUAAUACCACCCAACUUUUAACUCUCGUGUAUUUUGUAUUUUGGACUUUGGUAAACAAAGAAGAUGAAAAAAGCUGCAAACCAGUACUGGAUGAACCUCUUUCCAAGCACAACAACGAGAUACCUCCUGAAGGGUUGUUCAGAUCACAGCCAUUUAAUGAAUUUCCU